AUUGAACGCUGGCGGCAUGCUUUACACAUGCAAGUCGAACGGCAGCGGGGUAGUGCUUGCACUACUGCCGGCGAGUGGCGAACGGGUGAGUUAUAUAUCGGAACGUACCGAGUAAUGGGGGAUAACCAAUCGAAAGAUUGGCUAAUACCGCAUACGUCCUGAGGGAGAAAGCGGGGGAUCGCAAGACCUCGCGUUAUUCGAGCGGCCGAUAACUGAUUAGCUAGUUGGUGGGGUAAAGGCCUACCAAGGCGACGAUCAGUAGCGGGUCUGAGAGGACGAUCCGCCACACUGGGACUGAGACACGGCCCAGACUCCUACGGGAGGCAGCAGUGGGGAAUUUUGGACAAUGGGGGCAACCCUGGUCCAGCCAUGCCGCGUGUAUGAAGAAGGCCUUCGGGUUGUAAAGUACUUUUGUUAGGGAAGAAAAGGGAAGUGCUAAUACCACUUUUUGCUGACGGUACCUAAAGAAUAAGCACCGGCUAACUACGUG
rnacentral:rRNA from 1 species